rnacentral:rRNA from 1 species
UGGGGAAUAUUGGACAAUGGGCGCAAGCCUGAUCCAGCCAUACCGCGUGGUUGAAGAAGGCCUUCGGGUUGUAAAGCCCUUUUGUUGGGAAAGAAAUCCAACUGGUUAAUACCCGGUUGGGAUGACGGUACCCAAAGAAUAAGCACCGGCUAACUUCGUGCCAGCAGCCGCGGUAAUACGAAGGGUGCAAGCGUUACUCGGAAUUACUGGGCGUAAAGCGUGCGUAGGUGGUCGUUUAAGUCCGUUGUGAAAGCCCUGGGCUCAACCUGGGAACUGCAGUGGAUACUGGACGACUAGAGUGUGGUAGAGGGUAGCGGAAUUCCUGGUGUAGCAGUGAAAUGCGUAGAGAUCAGGAGGAACAUCCAUGGCGAAGGCAGCUACCUGGACCAACACUGACACUGAGGCACGAAAGCGUGGGGAGCAAACA